UAAGGAAUAUUGGUCAAUGGAGGCAACUCUGAACCAGCCAUGCCGCGUGAAGGAUUAAGGCUCUCUGGGUUGUAAACUUCUUUUAUAUGGGCAGAAAUGUUCUGAUUCUUCAGAGCUUGACGGUACCAUAGGAAUAAGCACCGGCUAACUCCGUGCCAGCAGCCGCGGUAAUACGGCGGGUGCAAGCGUUAUCCGGAUUCACUGGGUUUAAAGGGUGCGUAGGUGGGCAGAUAAGUCAGUGGUGAAAUCUUCCGGCUUAACCGGAAAAUGUCCGUUGGUACUAUUUGUCUUGAGUAUUGUGG
rnacentral:rRNA from 1 species